rnacentral:lncRNA from 1 species
UUGGAAUUUGAUGAUGAUGAUGAUGAUGAUCCUCAUAAUGUAAAUUUAAAAAAGAAAAAAGAAAAAAAAUGGUUACCUUCAAUUUUCUUGAUGGCCUUCAAAAUCUUUUUGAUGCAUUCGUCGCAGUGUAAUCCCACCUUCAAUUCUACCACCUAAUUCAAACAAAAACUAGUCACAGAAUUGAAGGAAAUUUAUGAAGAAAUUGAGGGAUAACAGUGUUGUAUAAAGAUAUACUUAACAUUAGCCAUCCGGUUGUAUUGAAUAAGUUUUGUUUCUACUAUCGAUCUGCUAAAAUCGAGUUUCUUUGUUAAAAAAAAAAAGAAGAGAAAGAGAGGCAGGAGAAAAAAGAUAUAUAUAAAUGAUUGCUCUGCCGAAUAAUUGAAAGCAUGCAUGCAUUUAAAGAUGAAAUGGUGGGGUGGGGUUUAUGAUUCUUAUCUUUUUUUAUUUUGUGGGAAUUUCAC